rnacentral:tRNA from 1 species
AGCAGAGUGGCCUAGAGGAUAGAGCACAGGCCUGGGAAGUCAGAGGCCCUGGGUUCUAAUCCUGGCUGGGCCA